UGAACGCUGGCGGCAGGCCUAAAACAUGCAAGUCGAACGCCCUAGCAAUAGGGAGUGGCGCACGGGUGCGUAACAUGUGGGAAUAUGCCUUUUGGUACGGAACAACGUUUGGAAACGAACGCUAAUACCGUAUGGUCCCUUCGGGGUAAAGAUUUAUCGCCAAAAGAUUAGCCCGCACUGGAUUAGCUAGUUGGUGAGGUAAUGGCUCACCAAGGCGACGAUCCAUAGCUGGUCGAGAGGACGAUCAGCCACACUGGGACUGAGACACGGCCCAGACUCCUACGGGAGGCAGCAGUUAGGAAUAUUGGACAAUGGGCGCAAGCCUGAUCCAGCCAUGCCGCGUGAGUGAUGAAGGCC
rnacentral:rRNA from 1 species